UGGGGAAUAUUGGACAAUGGACGCAAGUCUGAUCCAGCCAUGCCGCGUGCGGGAAGAAGGCCUUCGGGUUGUAAACCGCUUUUGUCAGGGAAGGAACGAGUUUCUCUAAUACAGAGACUUAAUGACGGUACCUGAAGAAUAAGCACCGGCUAACUACGUGCCAGCAGCCGCGGUAAUACGUAGGGUGCAAGCGUUAAUCGGAAUUACUGGGCGUAAAGCGUGCGCAGGCGGUUAUGCAAGACAGAUGUGAAAUCCCCGGGCUCAACCUGGGAACUGCAUUUGUGACUGCACAGCUGGAGUGCGGCAGAGGGGGAUGGAAUUCCGCGUGUAGCAGUGAAAUGCGUAGAUAUGCGGAGGAACACCGAUGCCGAAGGCAAUCCCCUGGGCCUGCACUGACGCUCAUGCACGAAAGCGUGGGGAGCAAACA
rnacentral:rRNA from 1 species